rnacentral:rRNA from 1 species
CCUACCGAGAAAGCCACGGCUAACUACGUGCCAGCAGCCGCGGUAAUACGUAGGUGGCAAGCGUUGUCCGGAAUUAUUGGGCGUAAAGGGCUCGCAGGCGGUUUCUUAAGUCUGAUGUGAAAGCCCCCGGCUCAACCGGGGAGGGUCAUUGGAAACUGGGGAACUUGAGUGCAGAAGAGGAGAGUGGAAUUCCACGUGUAGCGGUGAAAUGCGUAGAGAUGUGGAGGAACACCAGUGGCGAAGGCGACUAUCUGGUCUGUAACUGACGCUGAGGAGCGAAAGCGUGGGGAGCGAACAGGAUUAGAUACCCUGGUAGUCCACGCCGUAAACGAUGAGUGCUAAGUGUUAGGGGGUUUCCGCCCCUUAGUGCUGCAGCUAACGCAUUAAGCACUCCCCCUGGGGAGUACGGUCGCAAGAUUGAAACUCAAAGGAAUUGACGGGGGCCCGCCCAAGCGGUGGAGCAUGUGGUUUAAUUGGAAGCAACGGGAAGAACCUUACCAGGUCUUGACAUCCUCUGACAAUCCUAGAGAUAGGACGUCCCCUUGGGGGGCAGAGUGACAGGUGGUGCAUGGUUGUCGUCAGCUCGUGUCGUGAGAUGUUGGGUUAAGUCCCGCAACGAGCGCAACCCUUGAUUUUAGUUGCCAGCAUUCAGUUGGGCACUUUAAGGUGACUGCCGGUGACAAACCGGAGGAAGGUGGGGAUGACGUCAAAUCAUCAUGCCCCUUAUGACCUGGGCUACACACGUGGUACAAUGGACAGAACAAAGGGCAGCGAAACCGCGAGGUUAAGCCAAUCCCACAAAUCUGUUUUCAGUUCGGAUCGCAGUUUGCAACUUGACUGCGUGAAGCUGGAAUCGCUAGUAAUCGCGGAUCAGCAUGCCGCGGUGAAUACGUUCCCGGGCCUUGUACACACCGCCCGUCACACCACGAGAGUUUGUAACACCCGAAGUCGGUGAGGUAACCUUUUAGAGCCAGCCGCCAAGUGAUCAGUGU